rnacentral:lncRNA from 1 species
AAUCCUCUGGUCUCUUUUCAUUCCUGCUUUAUCAGUUAUCACCAGUUAAUGUUUCAUUUUCUGGUUUUGUUUAACCAAAGCCAAGAAGCAUCUUGUAGACAGCAACUGCCAAUUAGUUAUAAUAAAAGCAGAAAUUUAGUUUUCGGUUUGCCUGCAUUUGGAGGGCUAUAGCAGGAGUUAAUUCAAUUGCUUUCUUAUCUUCUGAACUGUUCUUACUACAUGCAUUUGUGGUUGCCAGGUGCAUCGGGGAUGCAGCGGGAUGUUCUUUUCUCUCUGAAGAAGUCACAUACCACACCACAGGAGAGUGACAAAAUGUUUGGACUCCUUUGCAAACACGGCUACAGAGAAGUCACCCUUAGUGUCCUGCAGUGA